rnacentral:lncRNA from 1 species
CUUGAUUUAAUGCAUCUCUAUAACGAGGUGCCGAUUGGUGCAGCGAAUGCUUAGUAGCUUCUUAAGCAGGCUGUGGCUGAUGGGAGUGGGAUGCCGCUGGUCUAGACUCCCCCUCCUGUCUCCUAUCAAAGUGCAGGUCUCUGUGUUUGUCUUGCAGGGACACUUUGGGGGAGAUUUAUCAGAGUGUUAACAAUACUUUUAUGGUUACUUUUCGGUAAAUAUUUGGCACACUUUAUUAAUUAGGUCAAUUUUUUUUUUCCUCUGCUACUUUUGUGCCCUAACAGUCAUUUUGAACAUACACCAUUCUUUAAUUGUCAUAAUGAAUUUAUCAAUCUUCACAUCAAUUUUUCUGACAGAAAGGUGGCCUUGUUUAAGUUCUCUUUUCUUUUUUCAGCCUCCCCAAAUUCAUUUGGUCAGCCCAACCUCAGUAGAAUGUUAUAGCACCUGUGUACCGCUCCAGUCUCCCAUCACGGCCAGACUGACAAAAAGCAGCCAUGGAAAGUGGUGUUAUACAACCAGUAUAAUGCAUCUGUCACUGCACAGAUAUACAGUUGUUUAAUUAAACAAAAAAGGCAAGAUUGAACAUUCGUAUGUGAAUAAGUGCACUUCAAUGACUUCAAAUAAACCAUACAACUGCUUUAUUUUAUGCCCUUUUGCUAGAGUAUGCAGUCAAUAUUUCAGCUUCAUUACUUCAAUGUUCGGUAAGGUAACAAACAUUUCAAAUGUUGAUUAGGUAGCAUAACUAUAUAUUGCUAACUGCUCUUGUUUUUUUCAAACCACUCACUGACCCGCACACUCUUUUACAUGUAGAUACAUGGAAACAUUGUUAAACAUAUACACUCACUAUUACAAAACAGCCCGAGGGUGAGAGGCAAGAUUUAUGAAGGACUAUGGGUGAUCUACGGCAAAUUUUUCCACGAGCAUAUUUUAGGCAUACUAGAACCAGUUCAACAUUUAUUUGACUGAUGUGGACUUGGACUGGGCUCUAUAGCAAUGGCUUUAUGCAUAUAGUCAUGGGAAAAAGAAUGGUCACCCUCUUCGAAUUCUAUGGUUUUACUUAUUACAUAAUCUGUUCCUUAGCAGGUCUCUAUGUUAGGUAAAGACAACCUCAGAUAAACAACACAUGACAUAACACGUAUCAUGAUUCAUUUAACAAAAAUAAAGCCAAAAUGGAGAUGCCAUGUGUGAAAACCCAAGUACACCUUAUGAUUCAAUAGCUUGUAAAACCCUCUUUAGCACCUAUAACUUGAAGUAAUCGCUUUCUGUAUGACUAUCAGUCUCUCAUAACGCUGUGGAGGAAUUUUACCCACUCUUCUUUAAAACGUUGCUUCAGUUCAUGGAGUUUUGUUGGUAUUUGUUUAUGCACAGCUCUAUUAAGGGUCUGGCCUUUGACUGUGCCAUUGUAAUACCUUGGUUCUUUUCUUUUUCAGCCAUUCUGUUGUAGAUUUGCUGGUGUGCUUGGGAUUGCAUGACCCAUUUUCAGCCAAACUUUAAGUCGGACAGAGGCCCUCAAAUUUGACUUUAGAUUACUUUGUAUACAGAGGAGUUCAUGGCCGAUUUAAUGACCGCAAUGUUCCCAGGUCCUGUGGCUGCAAAACAAGCCCAAAGCAUCACCCCUCCACCACCGUGCUUGACAGUUGGUAUGAGGUGUUCGUGAGGAUAUGCGGUGUUUGGUUUUUGCCAAAUGUUGCGCUGUGCAUUAUGGACAAACAUCUCCACUUUGGUCUCAUCUGUCCAAAGGACAUUGUUUUAGAAGUCGUGUGGUUUUUCUGCAGAUACAACUUUGCAAAUUUAAGCCGUGCUGCCAUGUACCUUAAAGAGAGAAGAGCCUUUUGCCUGGCAACCCUUUCAAACAAAGCAUACUUGUUCAGUCUUUUUCGAAUUGUACUGUCAUGAACUUUAACAUUUAACAUGCUAACUUUGGCCUGUAGAGUCUGAGAUGUAACUCUUGGGUUUUUUGCAAUUUCUCUGAGCAUUGCACGGUCUGACCUUGGGGUGAAUUUGCUGGGACGUCCACUCCUGGGAAGAUUGGCAACGGUCUUGAAUGUUUUCCACUUUUGAAUAAUCUUUCUCACUGUCGAAUGAUGUACUUGAAAUUGUUUGGAAAUGGCCUUAUAGCUCUUCCCAGAUUGAUGGGCAAUAACAAUUGCUUCUCUAAGAUCAUUGCUGAUGUCAUUUUUCCUUGGCAUUGUGUUUACACCCACACCUGAAUGCUCCAGACCAGUAAACUGCAAAAACUUUGACUUUAAUAUGAGGUGAUGUCAUGCAAUGUGUGAAAAAAAAAUUUCCUUUUAGUGAAUGGUCACUAAUUUAUUUAGAAUAAAAUCACUCAAGUAUUUUCUUCCAGAAAACAAAACAAACUUUAGAGUUGUAAUUUCAAUAUAAAGGUUAUAACUGAAAUAGAGAACCAAUUUGCUUAUAAAACAAUAAAUACAAGAGGAUAUUGAAGGUACCUCUUUCGUUUCUCUCAGCAGAGAAAGAGUUAAACAGUAAAGAAAGGUCGUAGGUUCAGUCCAGAUUCUCAAAAAUCAGUCUCUUUUUUUUUUUUUUUAAAGGGAGAGUGGUUAAUUAGAUUAGCCAAAGGUCAAAUACUGAGAGAUGAGUGGAUGAAAGGAAGGGUGGAGAUAUAAACCGGAGUCCUGUAAGCAAGUCCGUGAUGUUUUCUUGGAGGGGGGGUCGUAAUCCGAUCUGAGUCAGCCAACAAAAAAACCUUAAAGUAAGGGGUUUGUAGAUGCGGAUGGUCAGCAGAGAGUAAGCCAGAGGAACGGUAACAAGGUAAAUAUCGGAGGCACAGAAGGUUGCAGAGUUCAAUUCCUACGUGGGAGAGAGAACGCAAGGGAGGAAAAGGAACAUGAGCACCAGGAUCAGACUUAUUAAUCGAGCUCUGAACACUAGGAUUCAGAGUAAAUAGGAGUAUAGUAGUUAAUUUCUUAAAGGAACAUCCAUCCUGGGAGCAAAAUAAAUAAAAAACCAUCAUAGAUGGACACAAUUGCUGAUGAUCAAUUAAUCAAGAGCAUUUGAUUAGCAGCCCAUGUCUGCUACUUAGCUUCUUUAUUC